rnacentral:lncRNA from 1 species
GGGCAAGUUGCCUGGUCUGGGAAAACGAGGGUUGGCUAAAACUCCCCACUGAGGUUCAGUUGUUACUUCCUCUUGGGAAAUCUUCCCUGAACCUCUCAGGCUGAGUGGCAUCCCUCUGGGAUCCCAUCAGACCCUGCAUGUACCUCUGUCUUUUCACUUAACCUGUGAUCAUCCUGUGUCUGCAUAUUUUAUCAGACCCUCAAUUCCUUGAGUGCAAAGAACAUACUUUAAAAGUUUUGUUCUUCCAGCACUUAGCAAAUUACUCAGCACAUAGUAGGCACGAACACCAAUUCAUUGGUUGAACUGGCCAGACAGUGAAAACUGAGGAAGAAGAAGACAGCAAGUGUGAAAAGAAGACCAAAGCUGUCUCUAGUUACAGCGUAAUGUAAAUCCCCAUAGCAGGAAAUGGCCGCCUUUUUCAGUCCUAGGAAAUGGAAAUGGAGAACGUUUUUCCCAAGGCGCCACUCAAUGGAGUUUAAGCCAUUCUCCAUAGGCAGGGAGAUGUUGCAGCGUCCAAUGGUGGGGGUGAUGGUGCCCGCUAGGACAUGGGGCUCGCUGUGGAAGCUGAUACCCAUCCCAUUAGCAUACAUCACCCUCAGGGUACCAUUAUUACAGAGCUGGUAGCUGUUCCGAACUUGAUCUGGAAAAAUGUUUCCAUGGUACUUUGCAGCCAUUAGUCGAAGGCUGCCUUCAAUUAGCACACAUACAUACCAUGUGAAGCCACAGGCCAGAUCCACUACAAAUCAAAGCCCAGGAUUCUUUCUUUGAGAAAAUGGAGAGAAGAAGUCAACCUUCCCCAUCCUCAUGCUUUUACUGCCGACUGCACCUGAUACCACCCCCACUCAAGAGAACUCUGAAGAGACUCAAAUACAUCAGGGAGCUGGAGUCAGUGGGUGGGUGCUGAUAAUGUGUUUAUCUUCCCCAGUGGAAACUACACGAGUCAAUCAGACGUCUGACCUUUUCCUUUACCGAAAAGUUACGGGAAGGAAAUGUGAGUCAGAGACUCCUUUUACAGAUACACUGCUUCCUGACUGUCUGGGCAAAGGAGCUGGCCUGGGCUGGCCUCUGAGAUGUCAGCUUUUGGGGCAGUGAGCAAGUGUGUACCUGUCGCUCCUGUGACUCCAGCCGUCACACGCAGAAGGACAGAAUCUACAUCAUUAAUCAUUUGGCAGAGCAGAAAUAGAGUCAUUGAAACAGGCUCCGCUGUGGGAUAAUAGUCCAGAAAUGUCACCAUUUAUCUACUGAGAGGACACUUUUAUCCUCUGACAACGGGCUAGCCCACCGACAUUAUAUCUUAAUUAAAAGAAAAAUUAAUCGGCACAAUUCAUUUUCUUGCCAGCCCCAGUGCUUGCCCUGGACUGCAAAACAUGUCUAGUAGCAACAAUAACCACAGGGUGGGCAGAGACCUUUGAGAUCCCAGUCUUGGAGAGAGAAUGUUAAAGAGCUCCAGUCCCAGGGCAACCAACUCAUCAAACAAAUGCUUAAAAGAGAGAAUCAGGAUGGAACAAGAAAAUAUGAAGUCUAGUGGUGAGCCAGGAGAAUAAAUGGCCUUUGAGAAGAUAACUAUGUGUUUUGGGUUGGUGGGGAGAGGUGGUGAUGGAAGGGUAAGAGGUAGGGAGAGAGUAUGUGGGGGGCGGGUGGAAAUGGACAUUUUCAGAUAACUAUGUAGACAGUUCAAAUAUCUAGACAUUUGGCUGGGUGUAGAUGACAUUCUGUUCUAUCUGAUUAAGUCAUUUUCUACAAGAUUGACCUCUUAUAGUUUGCUGUGGACACUUGAAUAAAAUAGAA